GAAAGACCCCGUGAACCUUUACUACAGCUUCACAGUGAACUUUGAAUUGGCUUGUGUAGGAUAGCUGGGAGGCUUUGAAGCGAUGACGCCAGUUGUCGUGGAGCCAAGCUUGAAAUACCAGCCUGGUCAAUUUGGGGUUCUAACUCAGGUCCAUUAUCUGGAUCGAGGACACUGUGUGGUGGGUAGUUUGACUGGGGCGGUCUCCUCCCAAAGAGUAACGGAGGAGCACGAAGGUUAGCUAAGCAUGGUCGGACAUCAUGCGGUUAGUGCAAUGGCAUAAGCUAGCUUGACUGCGAGACAGACACGUCGAGCAGGUACGAAAGUAGGUCAUAGUGAUCCGGUGGUUCUGUAUGGAAGGGCCAUCGCUCAACGGAUAAAAGGUACUCCGGGGAUAACAGGCUGAUACCGCCCAAGAGUUCACAUCGACGGCGGUGUUUGGCACCUCGAUGUCGGCUC
rnacentral:rRNA from 1 species